GGCCGGGCACGCGCCGUUCUGGCAGCCUGGCAGCGCAGCUGGUGAUGUGGAAAUGCUCUGCUGGCUGCUCAGGCAGGGGCUCAGUCACCCACGAGUGACAGUGCCCAGGGCAGGCUGGCACGUGGGCACGGGCUGGCAGAUGUGGCCAGCACCUUGGUGUGCUGGCUGCAGGAGCUCUGGGCACCCCAGGGCCCGGGGUGACAGGAGCCAUCCUCUGCUUGGAACAUGACAGCAGCUUUGGGAAAGUGGCACUGUAUCGGUGUUGUGGUUUUUGAUGGGGGAGAAUGAGGUGUAGAACUUCAAUGAUUUCAGAAGGAAAAGCCCUGAGAGAGAACGAAGUCUCUGUUCAGAGAAUGGGAAUGCCACGGCAUUGCACACAAAGGCGCAAAGAAGGAACAAUCAGGCAAGCUAGAAGUUUAAAAAGGGUGUUUUCCUCAUGGAUUAUUGAUAAAUUGACAUUUUUAAUCCCAGUGAGACACAAGGCACUGUUCUGGUGUCCUUCCAGGAACAGGAUCUGUUCUUCUGUGCCCUCCAGCACUGAGAAUUCCUACCCAGCCUCGUGCUCAGUGCCUGGAAAAGCCAGGAAAAACACAUGA
rnacentral:lncRNA from 1 species